rnacentral:rRNA from 1 species
GGGUUGUGAGGUUAAGCGACUAAGCGUACACGGUGGAUGCCCUGGCAGUCAGAGGCGAUGAAGGACGUGCUAAUCUGCGAUAAGCGUCGGUAAGGUGAUAUGAACCGUUAUAACCGGCGAUUUCCGAAUGGGGAAACCCAGUGUGUUUCGACACACUAUCAUUAACUGAAUCCAUAGGUUAAUGAGGCGAACCGGGGGAACUGAAACAUCUAAGUACCCCGAGGAAAAGAAAUCAACCGAGAUUCCCCCAGUAGCGGCGAGCGAACGGGGAGCAGCCCAGAGCCUGAAUCAGUGUGUGUGUUAGUGGAAGCGUCUGGAAAGGCGCGCGAUACAGGGUGACAGCCCCGUACACAAAAAUGCACAUGCUGUGAGCUCGAUGAGUAGGGCGGGACACGUGGUAUCCUGUCUGAAUAUGGGGACCAUCCUCCAAGGCUAAAUACCCUGACUGACCGAUAGUGAACCAGUACCGUGAGGGAAAGGCGAAAAGAACCCCGGCGAGGGGAGUGAAAAAGAACCUGAAACCGUGUACGUACAAGCAGUGGGAGCACGCUUAGGCGUGUGACUGCGUACCUUUUGUAUAAUGGGUCAGCGACUUAUAUUCUGUAGCAAGGUUAACCGAAUAGGGGAGCCGAAGGGAAACCGAGUCUUAACUGGGCGUUAAGUUGCAGGGUAUAGACCCGAAACCCGGUGAUCUAGCCAUGGGCAGGUUGAAGGUUGGGUAACACUAACUGGAGGACCGAACCGACUAAUGUUGAAAAAUUAGCGGAUGACUUGUGGCUGGGGGUGAAAGGCCAAUCAAACCGGGAGAUAGCUGGUUCUCCCCGAAAGCUAUUUAGGUAGCGCCUCGUGAAUUCAUCUCCGGGGGUAGAGCACUGUUUCGGCAAGGGGGUCAUCCCGACUUACCAACCCGAUGCAAACUGCGAAUACCGGAGAAUGUUAUCACGGGAGACACACGGCGGGUGCUAACGUCCGUCGUGAAGAGGGAAACAACCCAGACCGCCAGCUAAGGUCCCAAAGUCAUGGUUAAGUGGGAAACGAUGUGGGAAGGCCCAGACAGCCAGGAUGUUGGCUUAGAAGCAGCCAUCAUUUAAAGAAAGCGUAAUAGCUCACUGGUCGAGUCGGCCUGCGCGGAAGAUGUAACGGGGCUAAACCAUGCACCGAAGCUGCGGCAGCGACGCUUAUGCGUUGUUGGGUAGGGGAGCGUUCUGUAAGCCUGCGAAGGUGUGCUGUGAGGCAUGCUGGAGGUAUCAGAAGUGCGAAUGCUGACAUAAGUAACGAUAAAGCGGGUGAAAAGCCCGCUCGCCGGAAGACCAAGGGUUCCUGUCCAACGUUAAUCGGGGCAGGGUGAGUCGACCCCUAAGGCGAGGCCGAAAGGCGUAGUCGAUGGGAAACAGGUUAAUAUUCCUGUACUUGGUGUUACCGCGAAGGGGACGGAGAAGGCUAUGUUGGCCGGGCGACGGUUGUCCCGGUUUAAGCGUGUAGGCUGGUUUUCCAGGCAAAUCCGGAAAAUCAAGGCUGAGACGUGAUGACGAGGCACUACGGUGCUGAAGCAACAAAUGCCCUGCUUCCAGGAAAAGCCUCUAAGCAUCAGGUAACAUCAAAUCGUACCCCAAACCGACACAGGUGGUCAGGUAGAGAAUACCAAGGCGCUUGAGAGAACUCGGGUGAAGGAACUAGGCAAAAUGGUGCCGUAACUUCGGGAGAAGGCACGCUGAUAUGUAGGUGAAGUCCCUCGCGGAUGGAGCUGAAAUCAGUCGAAGAUACCAGCUGGCUGCAACUGUUUAUUAAAAACACAGCACUGUGCAAACACGAAAGUGGACGUAUACGGUGUGACGCCUGCCCGGUGCCGGAAGGUUAAUUGAUGGGGUUAGCCGCAAGGCGAAGCUCUUGAUCGAAGCCCCGGUAAACGGCGGCCGUAACUAUAACGGUCCUAAGGUAGCGAAAUUCCUUGUCGGGUAAGUUCCGACCUGCACGAAUGGCGUAAUGAUGGCGGGCUGUCUCCACCUGAGACUCCAGUGAAAUUGAACUCGCUGUGAAGAUGCAGUGUACCCGCGGCAAGACGGAAAGACCCCGUGAACCUUUACUAUAGCUUGACACUGAACAUUGAGCCUUGAUGUGUAGGAUAGGUGGGAGGCUUUGAAGUGUGGACGCCAGUCUGCAUGGAGCCGACCUUGAAAUACCACCCUUUAAUGUUUGAUGUUCUAACGUUGACCCGUAAUCCGGGUUGCGGACAGUGUCUGGUGGGUAGUUUGACUGGGGCGGUCUCCUCCUAAAGAGUAACGGAGGAGCACGAAGGUUGGCUAAUCCUGGUCGGACAUCAGGAGGUUAGUGCAAUGGCAUAAGCCAGCUUGACUGCGAGCGUGACGGCGCGAGCAGGUGCGAAAGCAGGUCAUAGUGAUCCGGUGGUUCUGAAUGGAAGGGCCAUCGCUCAACGGAUAAAAGGUACUUCCGGGGAUAACAGGCUGAUACCGCCCAAGAGUUCAUAUCGACGGCGGUGUUUGGCACCUCGAUGUCGGCUCAUCACAUCCUGGGGCUGAAGUAGGUCCCAAGGGUAUGGCUGUUCGCCAUUUAAAGUGGUACGCGAGCUGGGUUUAGAACGUCGUGAGACAGUUCGGUCCCUAUCUGCCGUGGGCGCUGGAGAACUGAGGGGGGCUGCUCCUAGUACGAGAGGACCGGAGUGGACGCAUCACUGGUGUUCGGGUUGUCAUGCCAAUGGCACUGCCCGGUAGCUAAAUGCGGAAGAGAUAAGUGCUGAAAGCAUCUAAGCACGAAACUUGCCCCGAGAUGAGUUCUCCCUGACUCCUUGAGAGUCCUGAAGGAACGUUGAAGACGACGACGUUGAUAGGCCGGGUGUGUAAGCGCAGCGAUGCGUUGAGCUAACCGGUACUAAUGAACCGUGAGGCUUAACCUUACAACGCCGAAGGUGUUU